rnacentral:rRNA from 1 species
UAGUACCGUGGGGGAAAGUUGAAAAGAACUUUGAAGAGAGAGUUCAAGAGUACGUGAAACCGUUCAGGGGUAAACCUGAGAAACCCAAAAGAUCGAAUGGGGAGAUUCAUCGUCAGCGGAGUCGAUUCCCGUGCGAUUUGCGAUGGUCGUUGCUACGGCGUCGGUUCACGCUAUCGCUGCGGUAUAAUCGGCAACGUCGGCGUGCACUUCUCCCCUAGUAGGACGUCGCGACCCGUUGGGUGCCGGCCUACGGCCCGGUUGGUCGACUGUCGCGUCGCGUUCACGCGCGCUCGCGGCAGACCACUGGUCGCCUGGCCGGCUGCUCGGCGGUAUGGAUCGUAAUUGAACGGUAUUGGGCCGCAUUAUGUGCGUCCUGGCUCGUCGGCAGGCUCGCCUCACUCGGAUUUACGGACCUAGCGCCGUUGCCGGGUGCUUGGUGUGGCUGUUAGUCGACGAUGUCCUCGGACUGGCUCUGACAUUCGAACGGAUGUACCGGUCGGCGACGCUACUGCUUUGGGUACUUUCAGGACCCGUCUUGAAAACCGGACCAAA